ACUUAAUUAGUAUAAAAAGUACAAUUAAUUUCCAAUUAAAAGGUUUAUUAAAAAUUAAGUA
rnacentral:tRNA from 1 species